rnacentral:rRNA from 1 species
AGAGUUUGAUCCUGGCUCAGGACGAACGCUGGCGGCGCGCCUAACACAUGCAAGUCGAACGGAGCUGAGAGGAGCUUGCUUUUCUUAGCUUAGUGGCGAACGGGUGAGUAACGCGUGAGUAACCUGCCCUGGAGUGGGGGACAACAGUUGGAAACGACUGCUAAUACCGCAUAAGCCCACGGCCCGGCAUCGGGCUGUGGGAAAAGGAUUUAUUCGCUUCAGGAUGGACUCGCGUCCAAUUAGCUAGUUGGUGAGGUAACGGCCCACCAAGGCGACGAUUGGUAGCCGGACUGAGAGGUUGAACGGCCACAUUGGGACUGAGACACGGCCCAGACUCCUACGGGAGGCAGCAGUGGGGGAUAUUGCACAAUGGGGGAAACCCUGAUGCAGCGACGCCGCGUGGAGGAAGAAGGUUUUCGGAUUGUAAACUCCUGUCGUUAGGGACGAUAAUGACGGUACCUAACAAGAAAGCACCGGCUAACUACGUGCCAGCAGCCGCGGUAAAACGUAGGGUGCAAGCGUUGUCCGGAAUUACUGGGUGUAAAGGGAGCGCAGGCGGGAAGACAAGUUGGAAGUGAAAUCCAUGGGCUCAACCCAUGAACUGCUUUCAAAACUGUUUUUCUUGAGUAGUGCAGAGGUAGGCGGAAUUCCCGGUGUAGCGGUGGAAUGCGUAGAUAUCGGGAGGAACACCAGUGGCGAAGGCGACCUACUGGGCACCAACUGACGCUGAGGCUCGAAAGCAUGGGUAGCAAACAGGAUUAGAUACCCUGGUAGUCCAUGCCGUAAACGAUGAUUACUAGGUGUUGGAGGAUUGACCCCUUCAGUGCCGCAGUUAACACAAUAAGUAAUCCACCUGGGGAGUACGACCGCAAGGUUGAAACUCAAAGGAAUUGACGGGGGCC